ACCACAUUCAUGUGGCAAAUGCUGCUUUAUGGAGAUGUUUCUAAUACUGACCUACAAUAAUUCAGCCAAGAUCACAUUUCUACUGUCUUCAGGAAAUGAGAAAAAUGAAUCUAGGAAAUUUCCAUCUUUAAAUAUACUCUAUAAGUGUGCUGUCCAAUACACACAUAGCUACUGAGCACUGGAAUAUAGCUAGUCUGAAUGGAGAUGUUCUGUUUGACUUUUUUGGACUCCACAUGUGUGAGAUCAUGCAGCAUUUGUUUUUCUGUGCAUGGCUUAUUUCACUUAGCGUAAUGUCUUCCAGGCUCAUCCAGGUUGUUGCAAAUGGCCAGGAUUUUCUUCUUUUUUAAGCCUUGGAGAGUCAUUUGUUUUCAUAAGAGAUUCACACCCUACAUGAUGCCUUCUGCCAUGGGCGGUCCCUCACCAGAUUCUAGUGCCAUGCUCUUGGACUUCCUAGCCUCCAGAACCAUAAGCCAAAUAAACUUUAGUUCUUUAUAAAUUACCCAAUCUGUGGUAUUCUGUUAUAGCAGCAGAAAAUGAAGUAGAACAUUGAGUCAUUUCCCUAACCUAGACUGGCCAACUCUUUGCAAUUAUGAUCUUAUUAUUCAAUUUUUGAUUUUAGGAACUCUUUCUCCUUCCUACUUCUAAGGGUAAUAGAAUACAUUUUAGUCUUUUGUUUAUGAGAGCAAGUAUACAUUAAUUUUUUUUCUUUUAGAGUUUUAUGACAGUUGUUAACAUAACUGGAGACCCCCCCAAAGUGUGACAAGAAAAAAAUUAUUGUUCUAACUGUAGGGUGGUUGUAGCUACAUCUGAAUAAGACACAUUUUGAAAAUGAGAUAGUAAUCCCCUACAAAUUCUUUGCUGGAGUUCUUAGAUCUGGAGAAGUAAUUUCAUCAUGCAUUGUGAUUAUUUGGGAAAGUCCUAUUGUGCCUUUUUAAGAUGAUAGUGUGGAGCUGAUGGGGGAAAAUAAUCAGGAACAGCUGGAGGCUUUGCAAGUGUUCUCAUGAGCAGGAUGUUCCAUGCCAGGAGGGAAUGCAUUUUACUGGAAUUUUUAAAUAAAAAUGUUCUACUUCUUGAAUAUGUUUUUUAUUAGUAUUAUUUAGAAAUUUCAGUACUGGCUUUAUUUUCUGCAACAAUAAGGACAGAUAUACUUAUUGCUAAAGAUGUAGUUAACACAGUUUGGUU
rnacentral:lncRNA from 1 species